rnacentral:rRNA from 1 species
GACGAACGCUGGCGGCGUGCUUAACACAUGCAAGUCGAACGGAAAGGCCCUGCUUUUGUGGGGUGCUCGAGUGGCGAACGGGUGAGUAACACGUGAGUAACCUGCCCUUGACUUUGGGAUAACUUCAGGAAACUGGGGCUAAUACCGGAUAGGAGCUCCUGCUGCAUGGGGGGGGUUGGAAAGUUUCGGCGGUUGGGGAUGGACUCGCGGCUUAUCAGCUUGUUGGUGGGGUAGUGGCUUACCAAGGCUUUGACGGGUAGCCGGCCUGAGAGGGUGACCAGCCACCUUGGGACUGAGAGACGGCCCAGACUCCUACGGGAGGCAGCAGUGGGGAAUAUUGCACAAUGGGCGGAAGCCUGAUGCAGCAACGCCGCGUGCGGGAUGACGGCCUUCGGGUUGUAAACCGCUUUCGCCUGUGACGAAGCGUGAGUGACGGUAAUGGGUAAAGAAGCACCGGCUAACUACGUG